GAUCUGGCUCAGAACGAACGCUGGUGGCGUGUCUAUACAUGCAAGUCGAGCGAGGCAGCAAUGCCGAGCGGCGAACGGGUGAGUAACGCGUAAGCAAUCUGCCCCAUAUCAGGAAAUACCCGUGCCAACGCGCGGUUAAUGUCCAGGAGAGUGGCCCCCUGCAUGGGGGGUUGACUAGAGAUUUAUCGGUAUGGGAUGAGCUUGCGUCCGAUUAGCUAGUUGGCGGGGCAACGGCCCACCAAGGCGACGAUCGGUAGCCGGCCUGAGAGGGUGAUCGGCCACAUUGGGACUGAGAUACGGCCCAGACUCCUACGGGAGGCAGCAGUAGGGAAUAUUGCACAAUGGGGGAAACCCUGAUGCAGCAACGCCACGUGUGGGAAGAAGCAUUUCGGUGUGUAAACCACUGUCAUGAGGGAAUAAGGCCCGCCUUCGGACGGGAUUGAAUGUACCUUGAGAGGAAGCACCGGCAAACUUCGUGCCAGCAGCCGC
rnacentral:rRNA from 1 species